rnacentral:rRNA from 1 species
UACGUAGGCAGCGAGCGUUGUUCGGAGUUACUGGGCGUAAAGGGUGUGUAGGCGGUUCUCUAAGUUUGGUGUGAAAUCUCCCGGCUCAACCGGGAGGGUGCGCCGAAAACUGGAGGGCUAGAGUGCGGGAAGGGAGAGUAGAAUUCCUGGUGUAGCGGUGCAAUGCGUAGAUAUCAGGAGGAAUACCGGUGGUGCAGACGGCUCUCUGGACCGCGACUGACGCUGAGACACGAAAGCGUGGGUAGCAAACAGG